GUUCUCAAACUGGACAGCGGGUUAGACAGCAGCUACCGGGCGGAGCGCUCAUCUCCACCCCACCCGACGGUUUCCUGGAGAAAUUCUAAGGAAGUCUGUUUGAGCUCGGGCUGCUCGCGCCGGGAGCCUGGAGGCUUCGUUGGGGAGCACGUGUUUUGACCCAGAGCCUAAGUAGCCCCAGAUUCGUCUGUGGCCUGCUGUGCCCCCAGGAGUUUGGUGAAUACAGAAACACUUCUUAAAGAUGACGUGCACUCUUUUGCUGCAUCAAGAGAAGAGAUAUCAGGAAUGGAAGUAAAUGAUACCAGAACAGAACAGUUUUGUCCAGCUGCAGCCCCUCUCAUUUGGAGGAAGUGAAUGAAUCGUUGUGAAACUUCUAGCUUCCCUGAAAACAAAAACAAAAUGAAACCAGGAUGACCUCUGUACGCAAAAA
rnacentral:lncRNA from 1 species